GGGGAAUUUUGGACAAUGGGCGCAAGCCUGAUCCAGCCAUGCCGCGUGAGUGAAGAAGGCCUUCGGGUUGUAAAGCUCUUUCAGGUGGAAAGAAAUCGGCGGGGUGAAUACCCCCGCUGGAUGACGGUACCAUCAGAAGAAGCGCCGGCUAACUACGUGCCAGCAGCCGCGGUAAUACGUAGGGUGCGAGCGUUAAUCGGAAUUACUGGGCGUAAAGCGUGCGCAGGCGGUGAUGUAAGACAGAUGUGAAAUCCCCGGGCUCAACCUGGGAACUGCGUUUGUGACUGCAUCACUCGAGUACGGCAGAGGGAGGUGGAAUUCCACGUGUAGCAGUGAAAUGCGUAGAGAUGUGGAGGAACACCGAUGGCGAAGGCAGCCUCCUGGGCCAGUACUGACGCUCAUGCACGAAAGCGUGGGGAGCAAAC
rnacentral:rRNA from 1 species